CAGCCGCCACGGGAAUACGAAGGGGGCUAGCGUCGUUCGGAAUUACUGGGCGUAAAGCGCGUGUAGGCGGGUCUUUAAGUCAGAGGUGAAAUGCCAAGGCUCAACCUUGGAACUGCCUUUGAUACUGGAGAUCUUGAGUCCGGGAGAGGUGAGUGGAAUUGCGAGUGUAGAGGUGAAAUUCGUAGAUAUUCGCAAGAACACCAGUGGCGAAGGCGGCUCACUGGCCCGGAACUGACGCUGAGACGCGAAAGCGUGGGGAGCAAACAGGAUUAGAUACCCCCGUAGUCCCUGUCUCUUAUAU
rnacentral:rRNA from 1 species